GUGAAAUUACUGAGAGAGGGAGGAGAAGAAGGGGAAGGAAGAACAGAGGAAUGAGUUGAUUUAUAGACGGAGACAGUGAAAGACUAAAAGGAGAAAACAAAGUGGGUUACAGAUUCAGGGGUUAGCCGGGGUUAAUAUCCCCACUGGACAGAACUCAUCCCAAAAUAUCUUCCCUAUGCCACGCAACGGGUCCACUUUUCUAAGGCAGGUGUUGCUGCCCAGGGCGUUGACCAGCAUGGUGCCCCUGGAGCGCAGGCGCGAGUCGGAUAGGGACAGAGACUGCAGGGCCUGGCGGGGAAGGAGAAGAAACCGAGCGGUGAAGAAAAAAAUGCAGUGCUUCUGCAGGACCUCAUCCAGAACCCUGCGGACACAAGCCGUGGAGACAAACACAGAGGCGAGGCUGGAUGAGCCAGCACGACUAAUUGCCUCCUGCUAGAGAGCCGUCCGCCCGAGGAGCGGCAGAGUCAGACGCCUAUGAAAACAUCUAAGUGGACCAGGCAGUUGGGCUGAGACAAGAACAGAUACAAGUUCUGCAAGCAGAGAAAAAGAGAGCGCAAAUCACCUCAAGCGAGAAGAGUGAGGACACCGGGGUUCUUGCUCAGGUCCAGGUGCAGGAGAGAGUUGGAGUACUCAUCGCUGGAGCACAGAGCCUGAGAGAGAGACACCACUCCUGACAGAGAGAGA